rnacentral:lncRNA from 1 species
GGGCACUCGGGCCGGGUCCCGCGGGCGCCUUGUGCUCGCUCCCUCCAGGAGGGGACGGCUCUCGGGCAGGGGUCGCCGGCCCCUCCACGCGGCCUGCGUUCGUCCAGACUCAGAGCCUCGGGACGUGCGGGGGCCCGGGGGCCUCGCGGGCUCGCGCGUGGGGCUGGCGGCGCGGAUGCCCUGGGGCGCUGCAGACCCCGAGAGGCCGCUUGCCCGCGGGGACGUCAGCCGCUUUUGCUGUUAAAAUCUGAAAUGUUCAGCAAGUUAGAAACUUGAAACCUAAGGAAGCGUGACCGGCCGCUCUGGAAGCCCCCGCCGCGCGGCCGGUCCCGGCCCCGGCCCUCAGCGGCGCUGGCGUCUGCGCGUCCCGGGGCUGCCCCCGCAGCAUGUGGGGCUGGGACCCUCUUCCCGCGCGGGCCCCGGGCGGACGCUGCGGGCGGUGACGGAGCCAGGCCGGCCGCCUGGGUAGGGGACGGGGGCGCGGGACCACUUGCUUGCCCGUGGCCGAUGCCUCAUCCGAACGGAAAACGUUUUCUUCAGGGGAGACAGAGGCUGUGGGCGAAGGUAUUUUUUAAGCCUGAGGACCCAUUUGGGAGUUAGAUUCUGGAUCGAGCCUAGGGUCAGUUUUCCUUGUGUUAAAUAACACUACUUCACAGAAGGGGGAACGAGAAUUCAGGGGAGUUGGCACAAAACUUGGAACCCUUCUCGGGAGGCUUUCCUGCCUGGACGGACGCCUGGGAGGAGGGCCCGGAGAAACGAGGAUGAGCUUCUCCUCAUUCGCCCGAGGGUCUGACCACAGAUUUCCCAAUCGCCACACACACACACACACACACACACACACACACACACACACGGGUUGUUUGGGAGUCAGUUGGUUUUCAAAGGCUUUCAAGGAAAUGAAGAGUCCCAAAGUUUUCCUUAAUCGUUCAGAGUGUUUUUCUUUGUCCCAGGUUUAUAUACCAAGAAUACGGGGGAAUAUUUUUAGUUCCUUUCAGCUGAACAGUGUACAACUGCCUUUUUUCCUUUUGGAGGUCCCAACACCCUGUUAAUCCGCUCCUAGGAGAACUAAACAAAAACAAGGCUGGACGUCGUGUCUCCCGCCUGUAAUCCCAGUGCUUUGGGAGGCUGAGGCAGGAGGAUCAGUUGAGCUCAGGAGUUUGAGACCGGCUUGGUUAACAUAGCAAGACCUCACCUCUAUAAAAUACUUUUAAAAUAGCCAGGUGUGGUGGCACACGCCUGUGGGGCCGGCUACUUGGGAGCCUGAGGUGGGAGGAUGGCGUGAGCCUGGGAGGUUGAGGCUGCAGUGAGCUGUCAUUGCACCACUGCACUCCAGCCUGAGCAAGAGAACAAGGCCCUGUCUCAAAAAAGAACAAAGAUAAAAGGCGGGGUGGGGGAGAAACCAGGCCCCUGAUCACACUCACCAUUCAGUCCCUCAGCCUGUGACUUGAAAUACUGCCCCCCGCAUCCAGGAAGCAGGCUUCCCCACCCCUCCCACCCUAGCCAGAGUCUUCCAAAAGGUCUUAGGUAUUUGCAAACACCUGGCUGGCUGUUUGGAAACAUUGCAUCAGCACCAAAUAAAAACUGCAGCCAAAACUGCCUCCGCAGAACAGGUCCCCAAACUCAGGUGCACUUGACCUUUCACCCUGACCCAGCCCUGAGCUUCCAAAACCCAGAACAGCCCUGUGCCAACCAUGGCCAUCCUGUUUUCCCUUCCCUGGGCCCGUGGGCAAGGAGCUCGCUCUGCAGAGAAAGGCAGGAAGCACAGAGGAAAAGGCCAAGCUUGGAACGGCUGUCCCGUCUCCCCACUGGGGGAACCCCUGGCACCCUCAUAACUAAGUCUGUGCUUCAACCUGGUCUCUGUUACCCAAUGUCUUUUGUUGUUGUUUGUGUCCUUGACCCCCCGAGGCUGUAUUUCCUCUCAGAAGCUUUGAUUUCUUUUCUGUUUUCUGGUCUUCCGUGCCUUUAACACGAGGAAAAAUAAAACACAUGGUGUGAGUGUAAGGAUGGUACAAGCAAAUGAUUGGAGAAGCUCCUCACUGAACAUAAUGGAAGGAAUGCUCCCAAAGUCUGCAGGAACGGUACUUUAUUAUUAUGGUUUGCAUAUUAUUACAGAUUUGUGGAAAACGGCAAGUCAGUUUUCCUUUCCACAUGGACUUUCUUCAGCUUGUCUUAUGAUUGCCGUGUUUCUGGAGUUCAUCUUGUUUUUUAGGCCUUAAGACUGGAAACCCCAACAGGAAAUGGGUCCAUUUAUUAUUCAUAGUUGUAACGCUGGCCACUGGCAUGUCACAAAACUCUCAAAAUCAAUUGAUAAACACAGAGAAUGGAGCGUGGGGCAGCAUUUUUGCAAAGGGAUGGGUGCCCAGCUGGCCCCAGUGCCGCCCUCUGUGAGGAAGGAAUCUCCCAGUGCAGCCAGGAGUCAGACGAGUUCCUCUUCCCGACCCUACCCUCCCAUCUUCGACGCCUAAGGCCCUUCCCUGUCUUCCUGGCUUUGCUUCAGGUGGUUUUGUACUUUUUAAAUUUUGUUUUGGUUUGUUUAGGCUUCAGCCUAGCGGCUUUAGGUGCCAGAAAAUCAGAUUAACCACUGCAGCGGCAUCCUUCUCAGGGACCCGGGGGCCACGUUGGUCAUUUUGCCCCAUUGUAUCUGGAGAGCUUGACAGACAGACAUGUGUGCACUAGGUCAGGAAGCCACGGCCCUGGCCUGGGAAGAGGGCAGGUAGGAGAAAAGCCCCCAGCCCCCUCCACCCUCAGGGAAUGGCCCAGUUGUCCACAGGUUAAGUCAAGAAUCCCCCGCGAACAGGUCAAACCAGAGACUGCCCAGUCCCAGCGUCCGCCCCCAGGGCAUUGCUUCCUUCACCUCCUACACUUGGCUCCCUGUGGUUCCGUGGCUGCCACAGUUGUGUGGAUCCUACCGGGCCCAGGGCCCCUCCCCAUCUCAGACAGCACCCACUUUCAGGCUAGGCCUUCCACGGGCUGCUUAAAUGGACCACGAAGGCCGGCAAAGCAGCAGAAACGUGCCUGUUCACGGGCCAGUCGGCCCUCCCCGCUCCAGCCCUCUAGGGUUUCUGGUUCCGGUUUCUGUCGCUGCCGUUAGUGAGGAAUUAUUCAUGUGGCCAAUGCGUUUUCUUGACAUUUAAGCAGGGCUGUGGCCGAUAUCAAGGCUGAGGACCCAAGAGGCCUUUGGGUGUCUGUGUCCCUGAGCCAUAUGCUGAGGUCGGACGGCGGGGGAGGGGGGUGCAGGAAGGGGCCAGCCCCAGCGAGAGUCAGCCAGGCCCCAAACAGAGCCAGGGGUUCCCCCGGGGGGGAGUGCUCACUUAGGAAGAGCACCAUGGACAGCCUGGCAGGAGGUCACCCUGUGCUGAGCAGGCAGCGCUGGAGUAAACCACCUGCCUCUCUGUAGGAAGAAGGAAACCGCAUCCGCAAACGGAGCAAAGGUCCCCAGAGGCAGAGCAGAAGCCUCUGGGAUGCUGCAGCUUUGUGCAGACACUGGGGACCAGGACUGGAGCAGGUGCUGGCCGUGCUCUUUAUCCUGGGCACUCUGCCAGGGCCACACGGAGCGUGGCUCCCGGGAGAUGGAGACGUCUGAGUGUCAGCUCAGGUCUCGGUGUUUCCAGGUGACAUGCUGGCUGCUAGUGUAGAGCAUGGUAAACCAUCUUUUUUUUUUUUGGUUACUAUUUACUUAUGCAAAAUAAUGUGAGUUUCUGCCAUUUGCAACAAGUGUGCCAGCUGCAAUGAGUCAGCGGGUGGACACAGGUGAGCAUGGCCAGACUGUGCCAGAACAUGGUGACAGACAGACAUGCUUCGAAGUUCACUGUGGGAAGGGACAGGUCCCCAGAGAGAGGUGAGACGGUGCAACGCGAGGGUGAGUUCGGAGUCAUCCUCCAGAUGUCCACAAAGGCUCGAGAGGCCCUGCUGUGUGUCAGGCACUGCGUGAAGGUUGUGGGCACAGUAGGAGGGACACAAGACACCUUCUCUCGAGGACCGUUGGUUCCAGUUGCGGAGACAGUAACAGCAUAAGAUGAUGAGUAAGAAAAGAAUGCUGGCAGGAAAGUGGCCAUGGAGGGAACUGCUUCCGGGCCUCUCCGUGGGAUUUGCCAGGCGUGGACUGAGCGAGGACCUUCCCUGAGAACACCAACUGCUCCAGGAGAGAGAAGAGGUGGAGCCCCGGCGGGGGGCAUGGGGCAGGAGGCAGCCACCCACACCUUCCCUCUCUGAAUGCUGAGCAGAGGCUCUCAGCAGAGGGGAAGAAGAGCAGAGGCCACGAUUGGGAAGACAGACCCAGUGGGGGUCCUUGGCGCCGUCCACAUCCAUCUGCAACCUGCUGCCCAGCGCCUGCCUGCCCGGGGUGUGCACAGAGCAGUGUGGUCUGUCCCGGCUUCACGGCCUGACACGGCCAGGCGAGGAUGACAGGGAAAGGGAGGCAGGGACUUGGGGCUGUUGGAGCCAAGCUGAGGAGCAAGGAGCUGCGAUGGGAAGCGGGUGGCAGGAAGGAGCGUGAGGCCUGUGGGUGGAAGGUCUCUGGCCUUGGAGAUUGAAGCGUUUCACUUGUGCAUCUCACAGCCCAGAGAAGCCAAGCCCGGACCAUGGGGGAGAGAGGAGGACCCCCGUCUCAGGGCGGGCUGAGGAGACGCUCUCUCCACGGCUUCCGGAUGGGUCUCCCUCCAUCUCAGCUGCAUCUAUGGGAAAACGAUGAAAUGCUCCCUCCACUGCCGGGCCUUCUCUUAUAAAGCAGGUUUCUUCGAAGUAUAAAAAUUAAUAGAAAAGGUUCCAUAGAAAAUCAAGAAAGUAAGUAUGUAAAGAUGAAAACAAAAAGCACCGGAAAUGCUCUUCAUAGCUGACGUUUUCUUAUUCACUUUUUAUUAAAACAGGAUGAGGCGUCCUGCCUUUUCCAGCCUUAUCUAGGAAGUGUCUUGCCAGGUCACCAAAUGGCAAGCAGAACCGUAAGCUGAAGUUGUCUGCCUAGAAUUCCACUGUGGCAAUGUUCAGCAUCCCGACUGGACAGCUCCGUGCGGCGGCAUCGGGGGCGCGGCGGCAUCGGGGGCGCGGCAGCAUCGGGGGCCCUUUUCAUGCCAUUCAAGGCCCCGUGGAAACAGACACCACAGCUCAGCAUGAGACUGUGGCCCCACCUGACCUGGCUCAUCCAUCCCCAGCCUCUCGUGGUCCCCGGCCCUAUGCCGACAUUUGGCACUCGAUGAGCCAUUUCUCCACAUUUCAGGAGCCUUGUUUUAAGACAGCCUGGCUGUCUGAGAGCCACCGGAGUCGAGACUGGAUGCCCGGCCUGGUGCCCGUGGGCCAGCACCGCCUGAGGAGGAGGGGUCUCUGGAGGCCACAGGCAGAGCCACUGAGAGGGAUCUUUAAGCAGAGGGCCCCACACACCUCCUGGGACCCACGGGUGUGGCUGCCAUGCAGGGUCUGGGAGCUACAGAGAGUCGGGAACCAAGGGCGCGGUGGCUCACACCUGUAAUCCCAGCACUUUGGGAGGCCAAGGAUCACGAGGUCAGGAGAUCGAGACCAUCCUGGCUCAUACGGUGAAACCCCAUCUCCACUAAAAAUACAAAAAAUUAGCCGGGCGUGGUGGCGGGCGCCUGUGGUCCUAGCUACUCGGGAGGCUGAGGCAGGAGAAUGGAGUGAACCCGGGAGGCAGAGGUUGCAGUGAACCCAGAUUGCCCACUGCACUCCAGCCUGGGCAACAGAGCGAGACUCCGUCUCAAAAAAAAAAAAAAAGAAAGAAAAAAAGUAAAAACAAGAGAGUAGGGAGCCAAGUCCCUGGGUUGCCAAGUCAAUCCGUGGAAGCCCCUGACUUCGAGCAGGACACAGGGCCCUAAGGACAGCCCCAGCCCCUGCAGUGUGGCCUGCAAUGGGUGUCAUUCAUUUUGACCUGGCUGUUGUGGUUUUGGGUGGUAUUGUUAUUUGUUUGAAAAGAAAACACAUGGGCUGCGUAUGGCAUGAGCAAGUACAGACGUCAUUGGGAUCGGCUAAUGAAAAUGACAGAGUACUCUAAAGUGACACCUUACAGGGACGUGGUGAUGUGGCACCAGGCCCAGUGGCACCAGCACACCACCGUCUCGCUGGCAUUUCCACCGUGGUCCCUGUUAAACCAGAAAGAACGAAAGUGUGAUGGGGAAAAAUAAGUAUGUGUUUCUUGUAAAACACAGCUCAUUUCAAAACUACUGAGAACAAGGGGACAGUUUGAAAUUGGGCAGAGCCCCUUGGGACCAGCUGGACCAGGAAGAAGGUCCAAUCAGCUCUUCCUCAGGGCCAGGAAUCUCUCGGUCACUCCGAGGCCUGGAAGAAAGUUUCCAGAACCUUUUUUUGCACAAAUAAACUGCAGAUCUGAAAUCAGCAAGAAGGUUCAGGACCUGGGCCCCCAGGAUUGGAACCACGGGAGUCUCAGAUCCUCAAACUAGCUGGGUUUGCUUCAGUUUUCUCAGGUGGGACGGGCCACCCUGGGUUUCCCAGGGUGAUGUCCCAACAGUGGAGGUGAGAUGUCACAGAAUGGAGGAUGUGAUAUGAUCUGUAACAUGGAAUCCAGCAGAAGCUCCAGCACUUAAAAGACAGGAAGCAGUGGAGGGCCUGGGUGUCCCAGCCUUCAUCAUUCCCUCACCUGGAGCAGUUGGUGUCCUCAGGGAAGGUUCUCAUUCAGUCCAUGCCUGGCAGAUCCCAUGGAGGUGCCCGGGUGAUUCUGGCACAAGGGCUGGAAGAUUCCUUCUUUGAUCCCUGCUGGUGGCCGGAGCUGGCUCACAGGCCUGGGGCUGCUCAGCUGCAGGACAGUGGGAGGAGGUGGGCUCUGGGUUCCUCAACCCGGCUCACAGCCCUGCUCCGACUGUCCCUGCUGGGCACCCCUGGCGGUGAUAUCAUCAGCCUGGGCCUCCGUUUCUUUUUUCUUUUUUUUCUUUUUCCUGAGACGGAGUCUUGCUCUGUCUCCCAGGCUGGAGUGCAGUGGCACAAUCUUGGCUCGCUGCAACCUCCACCUCCCAGGUUCAAGUGAUUCUCCUGUCUCAGCUUCCCGAGUAGCUGGGACUACAGGCAUGCACCACCACGCCCAGCUAAUUUUUGUAUUUUUAGUAGAGACGGAGUUUCACCAUGUUGGCCAGGCUGGUCUUGAACUCCUAACUUCAGGUGAUCCGCCCACCUUGGCCUCCCAAAGUGCUGGGAUGACAGGCGUGAGCCACUGCGCCUGCCCUCCAUUUCUUUAUGAACAGUGUGUGGUCCCAGCAUCCUGAAGUUGGUGUGAGGUGCAGGUGGGACGGCUUUGGGGCAGGCCCCAGUGCAGACGGCCCUGCUGCUGCCCCUGCCCGUGCCGCUGCCCCUGCCCCUGCUGCUGCCCCUGCCCCUGCCCCUGCCCCUGCCGCUGCCUCUGCCCCUGCCCCUGCUGCUGCCCCUGCCCCUGCUGCUGCCUCUGCCCCUGCGUUCCUGAGCAGGCCACCAUGCUACUCUUUGGGAGUCCUUUUUCUUCUUUUUAAAUGAGGCUUGAUUGGCUUAGGGAGAAACAGGAGACACCGCAUACCAUGCAGUUAAAAAUGAAACUCGGAUUAAAUGAAUAUUGAAUUCAGUACUGUACUGGCUUCCUAGAGCUGCUGAAAUGCAAACUGGGGGCUUAAAACCACGGAGACGUAUUCCCCCACAGUUCUGGGAAGUAGAAGCUCGAAUGCCUGUUGGCAGGGCUGAGCUCCUCUGCAGGCUGUGGGGAAGGACCUGUCCCAUGCCUCUCCUGGCUCCUGGUGGCCGCUGGUAAGCCUUGGUGUCCUGUGGCUUGUAGACACAUCUCUCCAAGUGCUGCCUCUGCCUCCAUCUCCGCGUCUUCCUGCCGCCUCCUUAUAACGACGGCAGCCAUUGGAAUGGGGGCCCACCAAAAUCCAGUCUGACUUUGUCUUCAUUUAACUGAUGAUAUCUUUAAAGAUCCUGUUUCCAAAUAAGGUCACAUUCUGAGCAUCCAGGGGAUGCGAGUUUUGGGGAGACUCGAUUCCACCAACACCAGCAUCGAAGAGGGCAGGGCACAGAGAUGAAGCUAAGGUCCAGGGCGCACACACUGAUGGGCACCCUUGAAAUAACGGCAAGGUCCACAAAACCACGGUGAGAUGCCACCGCACACCCAUUGGGAUGGCUACCAUCAAAACACAACAGAAAAUUACAAGUGUCUGCAAGGAAGUGGAGAAGCCGGAGCCCUUGUGCACUGCUGACGGGAAUGUGAAUGGUGCAGUCGCUGUAGGAAAUGGUCGAUGAAUGGAGACACAGAAUGUUCCACAAAAUGGAAUAUUACUCAGCCUUAAAAAGGAAGGAAGUUCUGAGACAUGCUACAACACAAAGGAACCAGGAGGACAUCAUGCUGCGUGAACGAAGCUGGUCCCAAGAGGACAAAUGCCGUAUGGUUCCACGUGCACAAGGUCCCUGGAGUACUCAAAUCCACAGAGGCAGAAAGUAGAGUGGGAGGUGCUGGGGCUGGGGGAGUGAGUGUUUAAUGGGUUCAGAGUUUCAGUUUGGGAAGAGGGAAAAGUUUGGAGGUGGAUGGUGGUGAUGGUUACACAGCAGUGUCAAUGAACUUAACGUCACCAAACUGUGUGCUUUCAGAUGGUUAAAAUAGUAAAUUUUAUGUUAUGUGUAUUUUACUGCAAUAAAAAAAUGUUAAGCCAGGUCCCAUAGUUCAGCAAGAACCAAAAGGGCCACAGGACCUCCCAGUAGCUCCCUGCCCCGUCCUUAGAAACCUGAGCCCCCUCUGGCACGGAGGGAGGCCUGGCACAAGAGGCUGGCAGUGGGGUGGGCCUUGGCAGCCCACCUGCAGCCUGGCCUGGGCUCCACAUCUGCGAGGACUACACCGGGUGCUCCCAGGAGCUCCGAGUUCUCAAGAGACACCUCAGCUUUCUCAUCCCCAAAACCUCCUUCUCUCCAUUCGGAGCGUCUCCCCUGAACCCGACAUGCUUCCCCAGUGGGAACUAUGCUCUCCCCUGCCC